GACGUAGGGCGCGAGCGUUGUCCGGAUUUAUUGGGCGUAAAGAGCUCGUAGGCGGUGUGUCACGUCGGCCGUGAAAACCUGCAGCUUAACUGUGGGCGUGCGGUCGAUACGGGCAUCACUGGAGUUCGGCAGGGGAGACUGGAAUUCCUGGUGUAGCGGUGAAAUGCGCAGAUAUCAGGAGGAACACCGGUGGCGAAGGCGGGUCUCUGGGCCGAUACUGACGCUGGAGGAGCGAAAGCGUGGGGAGCAAACAGG
rnacentral:rRNA from 1 species